UACGAAGGGGGCUAGCGUUGUUCGGAAUUACUGGGCGUAAAGCGCACGUAGGCGGAUAUUUAAGUCAGGGGUGAAAUCCCGGGGCUCAACCCCGGAACUGCCUUUGAUACUGGGUAUCUCGAGUCCGAGAGAGGUGAGUGGAAUUCCGAGUGUAGAGGUGAAAUGCGCAGAUAUCAGGAAGAACACCCGUGGCGAAGGCGGCUCUCUGGGACGGUACUGACGCUGAGACGCGAAAGCGUGGGGAGCGAACAGG
rnacentral:rRNA from 1 species